rnacentral:rRNA from 1 species
ACGGGUGAGUAAUAUAUCGGAACGUACCUUUGAGUGGGGGAUAACUAGUCGAAAGAUUAGCUAAUACCGCAUACGAUCUACGGAUGAAAGUGGGGGAUCGCAAGACCUCAUGCUCAUAGAGCGGCCGAUAUCUGAUUAGCUAGUUGGUGAGGUAAAGGCUCACCAAGGCUUCGAUCAGUAGCUGGUCUGAGAGGACGACCAGCCACACUGGGACUGAGACACGGCCCAGACUCCUACGGGAGGCAGCAGUGGGGAAUUUUGGACAAUGGGGGCAACCCUGAUCCAGCAAUGCCGCGUGAGUGAAGAAGGCCUUCGGGUUGUAAAGCUCUUUUGUCAGGGAAGAAACGGGGGUUCCUAAUACGAGCCCCUAAUGACGGUACCUGAAGAAUAAGCACCGGCUAACUACGUGCCAGCAGCCGCGGUAAUACGUAGGGUGCAAGCGUUAAUCGGAAUUACUGGGCGUAAAGCGUGCGCAGGCGGUUAUGUAAGACAGGUGUGAAAUCCCCGGGCUUAACCUGGGAAUGGCAUUUGUGACUGCAUAGCUAGAGUGUGUCAGAGGGGGGUAGAAUUCCACGUGUAGCAGUG